rnacentral:lncRNA from 1 species
GGGGAACCCACGGAGCGCCCCGUGAGCACCGCGUGUCCGACCGAACCGCGGCACUGUCGGCUGUGGGGCUCUCGAGGCCGUUUAGCGACGCUUCACAGCCGGGCGCUGCCGUCUGAAACACCUUCCCCGAAAUCCCGCACCUCUCCGCUGCUCUGAGGACGCGGUGAUCGAAGGACGCUCAGAGGGUGCGCACGGAACGGCCGAUCGUCGGCCGGGACAGCGCGGGGACAAACGGGGACCGCCUCACUUCCCCCCCCGUGUUGGGGGGUGGGCUUUGCGGGGGUCCGCACGGCGCUCAGUGCCGCCAAUCCAGCUGCUGUUUGGGAGAUGUAAAAGCACCGCAGACCGUCCUACCCCGGUCAGGAUGAGGCCCGAAGUCGGUGGGCUCUCGGGAUGCUGUCAGCUCCCAUGUGGGAGGGUUCCCCCCCCCGACCCCCCCCCCCCGUGGCUGCAUCGCCCCCCAGGGCCUUCAGUCAGGAAUGUGAACCAGACCCGCCCUCAUCCCCAAACCAGAUUUAAUGGCAAAAUAGUAAGCUUAAUCGCCAGAGUAAAGACGACGGUUCAGAGGUCUCUGUGCUGUACAGGCACACAAAAAAGAGCCGUAAGACAAGAUAAUGCGAUUCUGGAUUAUACCUGUCAGCCCACGUUACCCUCAGCUCCCGCAGUGUCUCUCUUAGCUGAGGAUGCAGCCGUCCCAUGGAGGGGCACAGCAGGGCUGGGUGCAGCAGGAUGGCAGUGUGUGCUCCUGCGGGUCCUGGGCAGGGUGGGGUUUGUGCCAUCACAGAGCGAUAGAACUACAGAAUGACAGAACCGGGGUCAUCCAGAUUGGAAAAGAUCUUCGAGGUCAAGUCCAACCAUCAUCUGACCCCACGUCCUUGAGCUCCUCGCUGCCGCUGUGCCAGCUGGGGCUUGGGCACACAGGGAUGUCACAGUGUUGUGGACGUCUCAGUCAGCACCUGCUGCUCCCCAAAGCAUUGGGAAGUACCUGUCAAUUGACAGGGGGGGGGCUGAGGUGAAAUGUGAUGAGGGAAUUCUUCACUUAGAGGGCGCUGAGACCCUGGCACUGCUGCCCAGAGCUGUGGGUGUCCCAUCCCUGGAGGUGCCCAAGGCCAUGG